GAUCCUUUUGUUUUCACUCUCUGC
rnacentral:siRNA from 1 species